rnacentral:rRNA from 1 species
CCUACGGGGGACAGCAGUGGGGACUAUUGCACAAUGGGGGAAACCCUGAUGCAGCGACGCCGCGUGCGUGAAGAAGUAUUUCGGUACGUAAAGCUCUAUCAGCAGGGAAGAAAAUGACGGUACCUGACUAAGAAGCCCCGGCUAACUACGUGCCAGCAGCCGCGGUAAUACGUAGGGGGCAAGCGUUAUCCGGAUUUACUGGGUGUAAAGGGAGCGUAGACGGCAGCGCAAGUCUGGAGUGAAAUCCCAUGGCUUAACCAUGGAACUGCUUUGGAAACUGUGCAGCUAGAGUGCAGGAGAGGUAAGCGGAAGUCCUAGUGUAGCGGUGAAAUGCGUAGAUAUUAGGAGGAACACCAGUGGCGAAGGCGGCUUACUGGACGAUGACGGACGUUGAGGCUCGAAAGCGUGGGGAGCAAACAGGAGUAGAUACCCGUGUAGUC